rnacentral:rRNA from 1 species
GACGAACGCUGGCGGCGUGCUUAACACAUGCAAGUCGAACGAGUGGCGAACGGGUGAGUAACACGUGGGUGACCUGCCCUGCACUUCGGGAUAAGCCUGGGAAACUGGGUCUAAUACCGGAUAGUGUGGGAUGGGCCCGCGGCCUAUCAGCUUGUUGGUGGGGUAAUGGCUUCCACGGCGCGACGGGUAGCCGGCCUGAAAGGGUGGCCGGCCACAUGUGGACUGGGACACGGCCCAGACUCCUACGGGAGGCAGCAGUGGGGAAUAUUGCACAAUGGGCGCAAGCCUGAUGCAGCCAUGCCGCGUGUAUGAAGAGGGUUUUCGGAUCGUAAAACUCUGUUGUUAGAAAAGCGGUAUCUAACCAGAAAGCCACGGCUAACUACGUGCCAGCAGCCGCGGUAAUAC